GUCCACGCUGUAAACGUUGGGCGCUAGGUGUGGUGAUCUUCCACGAUCUCCGUGCCGGAGCUAACGCAUUAAGCGCCCCGCCUGGGGAGUACGGCCGCAAGGCUAAAACUCAAAGGAAUUGACGGGGGCCCGCACAAGCGGCGGAGCAUGUUGCUUAAUUCGACGCAACGCGAAGAACCUUACCAAGGUUUGACAUCACCCGGAAACGUGCAGAGAUGUGCGCCUCUUCGGACUGGGUGACAGGUGGUGCAUGGCUGUCGU
rnacentral:rRNA from 1 species